AAGGCUUGACAUAUAGAGGAAACGUACUGGAAACAGUCGCCCCGCAAGGUCUCUAUACAGGUGGUGCAUGGUUGUCGUCAGCUCGUGUCGUGAGAUGUGGGUUAAGUCCCGCAACGAGCGCAACCCUCGUUCUAUGUUGCCAGCACGUAAUGGUGGGAACUCAUGGGAUACUGCCGGGGUCAACUCGGAGGAAGGUGGGGAUGGCGUCAAAUCAUCAUGCCCCUUAUGUCUUGGGCUUCACGCAUGCUACAAUGGCCGGUACAAAGGGCUGCAAUACCGUAAGGUGGAGCGAAUCCCAAAAAGCCGGUCCCAGUUCGGAUUGAGGUCUGCAACUCGACCUCAUGAAGUCGGAGUCGCUAGUAAUCGCAGAUCAGCAACGCUGCGGUGAAUACGUUCCCGGGUCUU
rnacentral:rRNA from 1 species